UGCGGCUGGAUCCCCUCCUUUCUAAGGAGUUGCUUCUCCUCGAGCUGGGCGUUCGCUCAGCGAGCAGGAGACAACACCCAGUUGAUGCACUGGCCGUCCGUUCGAUCAGACCUCACCCGGUCGUAGGUUUCCCUCCUGGGUGCCGGCUGACGAGCUCGACGCAAUCCUCUCUUCCGUUUUGAAGGAGCCGCACGCACCUCUGUGCGCUGCUUCUUCGUGUUGGCCGAUCAGGCGCGUCUUGGCGCCGAUCCGCCUCGCCCUUUGAGAACUGCAGAGCGAGCACGAGCAUCUUUGUUCUUCCAAGCUACAAAGAGCCAACGGUGGAUGCCUUGGCGUCUACUACCGAUGAAGGACGUGGGUAGCUGCGAAAAGCCACGGGGAGCUGCUGACCAAGCGUUGAUCCGUGGAUGUCCGAAUGGGGAAACCCGG
rnacentral:misc_RNA from 1 species